CAUCCAGCUCGUGGCCUAUACGCCCAAUGUUUUUUUCAUUGCCUCGUACACCGUAUAGCUGAUGCCACACGCUGGCAACACCUUCAAUAAGGUGGGAGUCACGCCUCGAUACAGCCCCUGCCAACCCUGCUCGGCCAGGAUCUUUCGAAAGAUUUCACUCAUGGUUGUGGCCAGUGUCGCAGAGGACAGACUGACCAGGCUGCUGGGGUCCUCCAUAUCCCUGCCUGAUUUCAGCCAUAAGUACUGUAGUGCCUGCAAGACAAGGGACAAGAAUACCAUCCUUAAGAGCUGCCGCCGCGAGCCCUCGACCUAGACAUGUGGGACAAGAGGUGUCGUUCUUAUGCGGCUCUGCAGGGCGCGUACCUUGUACACGGCGAGGCAGGUGCUGUGCCGCUGAGCUCCAUCCCCGCCCUGAGAGCAGACGUGACAAGAGGUAACUUCACAGCAAGAGAAACCUUCGCCAGGACUGGACGUAGCUAUAGCCUUGAUCCUGGCCUUCCUGCCUCCCAGCACUGAGAAAUAAAUACCUUUCGCUAAA